rnacentral:rRNA from 1 species
CCAAUAGCGUAUAUUAAAGUUGUUGCAGUUAAAAAGCUCGUAGUUGAAUUUCGGGAUUAGCAGGUUGGUCGUGCCACCGGUACGUACUGGUCUUGCUGAUUCCUCCCUCUUGACGAGCCGUAAUGCCAUUAAUUUGUUGUUGCGGGGAAUCAGGACUGUUACUUUGAAAAAAUUAGAGUGUUUAAAGCAAGCUUGCGCUUGAAUACAUUAGCAUGGAAUAAUGAAAUAGGACGUUCGAUCUUAUUUUGUUGGUUUCUAGGAUUGACGUAAUGAUUAAUAGGGAUAGUUGGGGGCAUUAGUAUUCAAUUGUCAGAGGUGAAAUUCUUGGAUUUAUUGAAGACUAACUACUGCGAAAGCAUUUGCCAAGGAUGUUUUCAUUAAUCAAGAACGAAAGUUAGGGGAUCGAAGACGAUCAGAUACCGUCGUAGUCUUAACCAUAAACUAUGCCGACUAGGGAUCGGAUGAUGUUAAUUUUUUAAUGACUCAUUCGGCGCCUUACG